rnacentral:rRNA from 1 species
UACGAAGGGGGCGAGCGUUGUUCGGAAUUACUGGGCGUAAAGAGCUCGUAGGUGGUUUGUCGCGUUGUUCGUGAAAACUCACAGCUUAACUGUGGGCGUGCGGGCGAUACGGGCAGACUGGAGUACUGCAGGGGGAGACUGGAAUUCCUGGUGUAGCGGUGGAAUGCGCAGAUAUCAGGAGGAACACCGGUGGCGAAGGCGGGUCUCUGGGCAGUAACUGACGCUGAGGAGCGAAAGCGUGGGGAGCGAACAGG